CAGCAAGCGCUUGGUGACCUUCAGCUC
rnacentral:sRNA from 1 species